rnacentral:rRNA from 1 species
UGAGGAAUAUUGGUCAAUGGGCGGGAGCCUGAACCAGCCAAGCCGCGUGAGGGAGGAAGGCCCUAUGGGUCGUAAACCUCUUUUGUCAGGGAACAAAAGCGAGUAUGUAUACUAGUCUGAGUGUACCUGAAGAAAAAGCAUCGGUUAACUCCGUGCCAGCAGCCGCGGUAAUACGGAGGAUGCGAGCGUUAUCCGGAUUUAUUGGGUUUAAAGGGUGCGUAGGCGGCGGUGCAAGUCAGCGGUAAAAGCCCGGGGGCUCAACCCCGGCGAGCCGUUGAAACUGCAGUGCUAGAGAAGGCGAGAGGUACGCGGAAUGCGCAGUGUAGCGGUGAAAUGCUUAGAUAUUGCGCAGAACUCCGAUUGCGAAGGCAGCGUACUGGCGCCUGACUGACGCUGAGGCACGAAAGCGUGGGGAUCGAACAGGAUUAGAUACC